rnacentral:rRNA from 1 species
AGUUUGAUCCUGGCUCAGGAUGAACGCUGGCGGCGUGCUUAACACAUGCAAGUCGAACGGAGGACCCUUGACGGAGUUUUCGGACAACAGAUAGGAAUCCUUAGUGGCGGACGGGUGAGUAACGCGUGAGGAACCUGCCUUGGANAGGGGAAUAACACAGAGAAAUUUGUGCUAAUACCGCAUGAUGCAACUAAGUCGCAUGGCUUUGGUUGCCAAAGAUUUUAUCGCUCUGAGAUGGCCUCGCGUCUGAUUAGCUGGUUGGCGGGGUAACGGCCCACCAAGGCGACGAUCAGUAGCCGGACUGAGAGGUUGGCCGGCCACAUUGGGACUGAGACACGGCCCAGACUCCUACGGGAGGCAGCAGUGGGGAAUAUUGGGCAAUGGGCGCAAGCCUGACCCAGCAACGCCGCGUGAAGGAAGAAGGCUUUCGGGUUGUAAACUUCUUUUAUGAGGAACGAAGGACGUGACGGUACCUCAUGAAUAAGCCACGGCUAACUACGUGCC